UACGUAGGGGGCAAGCGUUGUCCGGAUUCAUUGGGCGUAAAGAGCGUGUAGGCGGCCGGGUAGGUCGGUUGUGAAAACUGGAGGCUCAACCUUCAGAGGUCGACCGAAACCAUCUGGCUAGAGUCCGGGAGAGGAGAGUGGAAUUCCUGGUGUAGCGGUGAAAUGCGCAGAUAUCAGGAAGAACACCCGUGGCGAAAGCGGCUCUCUGGAACGGUACUGACGCUGAGACGCGAAAGCGUGGGGAGCGAACAGG
rnacentral:rRNA from 1 species